UUUUCUUUCAAAAAAGACUCUUUCUAUCUAACUUAUAUAUCAAACAUAAUUAUAUUUUUGAGUUUAUUUGAAUUAGAAAUUUAAAUUUAUUCUUUGAUAAUAAUAAUUCUAAUUAUAAAAAAUAUAAAAAGUAUCUUUAAUUUACAAGAUUUAUUCAUCCAAAAAAGAAUAAAAAUACUUUGAUUCUUAAUUUAUAUUUUUAACUAAAGAAUUUAUAUUUUUAUACAUAUUUAUCUAAUAAAAUUAAUUUUUAAUAAAUAUACAUAU
rnacentral:lncRNA from 1 species